GCCCGGGCUGCUGCCGCUCCCCGCGGGUGCCGGGGCCGGGAGGCUGCCCCGGGAGCCUGGCAGCUCUUAAUGCCACACACAGCAUUUGAAAAAGAGGGAGUAAGAAUUAAAAGACCCCGAAUACAAAAGUACAACUGAAGAAAAAACCCCAGAAGACUGUUAAGAAUCCUGGUAAAAUGCAGUAAAGGAUUUAAGGUUAUCGUCUGUCUCUCUCUAACUUCUGACAUCUCUUUAUAACAAGAAAGAGUCACAGCCAACUGUAACAGGAGGGCAACACAAUGAAUCCUGGAAGCAGCCUGGACUCAUGAAGAGCAAACUCUGUAGGAAGCAUUUCAGACUGACAUUCGCUGCCUGAGGAGGAAGUUUCCAGGGGCCCAGCAGGACCUGUUAGCAGCAUGAACAUCUCAAGCUACAGCAAGGAGAGCUGAGCAAUACAUGAAUCUGUCCAUGUUCCCUCCUACAGUGGAGAAGCAAGUGAGACCUGAAAACCAUUAGGCAGAGGACUGUUCAGAGUGUUGCAGGGCCACACAUACAGAUGCACAC